UGGGGAAUAUUGCACAAUGGGCGCAAGCCUGAUGCAGCCAUGCCGCGUGUGUGAAGAAGGCCUUCGGGUUGUAAAGCACUUUCAGCGGGGAGGAAGGUGUCAAGGUUAAUAACCUUGGCAAUUGACGUUACCGACAGAAGAAGCACCGGCUAACUCCGUGCCAGCAGCCGCGGUAAUACGGAGGGUGCAAGCGUUAAUCGGAAUUACUGGGCGUAAAGCGCACGCAGGCGGUUGAUUGAGUCAGAUGUGAAAUCCCCGGGCUUAACCCGGGAAUUGCAUCUGAUACUGGUCAGCUAUAGUCUUGUAGAGGGGGGUAGAAUUCCAUGUGUAGCGGUGAAAUGCGUAGAGAUGUGGAGGAAUACCGGUGGCGAAGGCGGCCCCCUGGACAAAGACUGACGCUCAGGUGCGAAAGCGUGGGGAGCAAACAGG
rnacentral:rRNA from 1 species